rnacentral:tRNA from 1 species
GCUCCCAUCGUUCAAUGGAUAGGAUGCUAGCUUGCGGAGCUUGUGAUCUGGGUUCGAUUCCCAGUGGGAGCG